AUUGAACGCUGGCGGCAGGCCUAACACAUGCAAGUCGAGCGGAUGAAGGGAGCUUGCUCCUGGAUUCAGCGGCGGACGGGUGAGUAAUGCCUAGGAAUCUGCCUGGUAGUGGGGGAUAACGUCCGGAAACGGGCGCUAAUACCGCAUACGUCCUGAGGGAGAAAGUGGGGGAUCUUCGGACCUCACGCUAUCAGAUGAGCCUAGGUCGGAUUAGCUAGUUGGUGGGGUAAAGGCCUACCAAGGCGACGAUCCGUAACUGGUCUGAGAGGAUGAUCAGUCACACUGGAACUGAGACACGGUACAGACUCCUACGGGAGGCAGCAGUGGGGAAUAUUGGACAGUGGGCGAAAGCCUGAUCCAGCCAUGCCGCGUGUGUGAAGAAGGUCUUCGGAUUGUAAAGCACUUUAAGUUGGGAGGAAGGGCAGUAAGUUAAUACCUUGCUGUUUGGACGUUACCAACAGAAUAAGCACCGGCUAACUUCGU
rnacentral:rRNA from 1 species